UCUUGCAGUUUUUGCUUUUUGAUUCGCCUUCAGCAUCCUCCGUGGCUGUUGGAGGGGGAGGGGUUACGUUCCUUUACAGAAUCUGAUGCUCCCGGGCCCAACUUGGCUCAACUCUUUGUCCCUCUCCUAGUGAGGUGAUCAGAUGGGGGCGCCAAGGGUGCGGGCACCCAGAAUGCGCGCGGCGCGCGGUGUACGGUGCACGGGUGCACGGUGCGCCUGUACUGGUUUGGAUUUCGCGGGGAGAAGAAAGCCUGUAUGACUCUCUUGAAAAAAAAAAAACGAGGGGGCCUACAGUGUUUGGGACGUUCUGUAUAAUGACUAGCCCGCUGGCAUCUUCGGCCCUUGGAGAGAGUGAUUGGUCGGCUUUUCCAGCAAGUUGAUUCCCGGACGCUGGGAUGUCUAUAGGGGUGUACUAAAAAAAAAAAUUCGAAAAGCCUGCAAAAGAAUCCAGAGUAAAAACUAUUGUUGGAUCGAGUUGGUUUUCACCUCAACAGCGCCACCUUUCGGCAAAGGAAACCGACUCCAUUGAUCUGCAAGAGUUCUGGAGAGGACUGGAGUGAUAAGGCUUACUCUGUUCCUAGGUCUAGUGUUAGAUAAAUCCUUUUAGCCGUCUUCACUUAGCAGGUGCUGUUGGCGAAAGCAAAGGGUAGAUGAAUGAGACUCCCAGGCUUUUUUCCAAGGCUAACACUCAGAUGGGGGACUGUGCGGAGCAGGGCGGGAGAAUGGCAGAAGGUUCUCGGCUCCUCAAACAAUGCUAAGGUUAUUUAUUGGAGGACGCUCACAGAAAGCACGGGUUUUCAGCAAACAGCGAAUAUCGUCAUGUCUCCUGCCUGGGAGGACUUCUUCCUCGGAAUAUCUGCACCCGGCCUUCCGUGGUCGAUCUGAGCUGUGGAAAACUCUGCUGUUCCCCGGGGCCGAUGCAGCGGGUUUUGCUCAUCUCUCCUCCUUUUCUGCACCCCGCGGACCCCAGGCGUGGCCUGGCAGAUGGAGGCUUUAAUUUAAUAAAUUGCUUUGGGGACACACGA